rnacentral:rRNA from 1 species
AGCGUAGGCGGGACUGUAAGUCAGGUGUGAAAAACUAUGGGCUCAACCCCAUAGACUGCACUUGAAACUAUAGUUCUUGAGUGAAGUAGAGGUUGGCGGAAUUCCUAGUGUAGCGGUGAAAUGCGUAGAUAUUAGGAGGAACAUCAGUGGCGAAGGCGGCCAACUGGGCUUUUACUGACGCUGAGGCUCGAAAGCGUGGGGAGCAAACA